GCCAGAUGGGUGGGCCGCUGCGGCCGGCAGCUGAGUGGGGGCUGGGUCCAGCACUGCUACGAGGUGAGCCUGCGUGGGUGCCUGCUGCUAGACCUCCUCGUUUGCUUCUCACGGCCGCCGGGUAGUCGGGAGGAGGAGAGCUUCACCUGUCGGCUUGGAGAGAUCCAGGUGAUGCUUCCCAGAGGGGCUCGGGCUGGGCUGGCUGUUUGUCCAGCUGGAGUGGGGGUGGAGGCCGCCCCAGGCCGCCCCCUUCUUGGGUUCAGCGGGGAACUGGGGUGGAGGAG
rnacentral:lncRNA from 1 species